rnacentral:rRNA from 1 species
UCCACCCUGGUAACCAACCGUCACCCCCGCUCUGCCGCCCGGGUUCGUCCUGGGGCUCACGGCAUCGGGCGCCGGUCCCCUGGCUGGGGUCCCUCGGGACGCCAGUUAGGUCCGGCGGGCGUCUCCCCUGGCUCAUACCCAGGGGUUGGCGUCGGUAAUUUAUAUCCAACCUCAACACACCCCAAACCACAAGUUGUUCUGAAGCUGAUUGUGGUGCGGCCUCGUGCCUGCCCACUCCAACCAAAGACAACUCUCAACAACGGAUAUCUUGGCUCCCGUAUCGAUGAAGAACGCAGCGAAAUGCGAUACGUAGUGUGAAUUGCAGAAUUCCGUGAACCAUCGAAUCUUUGAACGCAAAUUGCGCCCGAGGCCUCGGCCGAGGGCAUGUCUGCCUCAGCGUCGGUUUACACCCUCGCCCCCUUCCCUCCUGUGUGAGCGUUGGGGUGCGGACCUGGCCCUCCCGGCUCCGUUUCGCAAGAAUCGUCCGGGUUGGCUGAAGCACAGAGGCUUGAGCAUGGACCCCGUUUGCAGGGCAAUGACUUGGUAGGUAGGCACCCCCUACGCAGCCUGUCGUUGCCCGAGGGGACUUUGCUGGCGGCCCCGCAGGAAUUCGGACUCACCUCCGAACUCUUUUUUCGACCUGAGCUCAGGCAAGACUACCCGCUGAACUU